GAAACUGAAUUGAUUAGUACGUCUCAAUAAUAAAUUGUGUACACUCUAGUUGUCGACUGGUAAUUUUCUUAAUGAUGUUUUAAGGUAGGUACUUAUAUAUCCUUUUAUAAUUUGUUUUAACUGUAUAAUUAUAUUCAUUAUCAUGCAAUGUUGAUGGCAAUAUUCUGUUAAAAGAAUUUUUUUUACAAAUUUUGCAACUGAAUAGGUUUCCCUAGAAUAACAACUUGCAUUUUGAAUUUUGUCGGGAAAGAUACAUUUUCCUACUUAUUUUACCCGUUUGUUUAUAAUUAGUUAUCAAAAGUACCAGGAUUAUAAUUUUAUAUGCCAGACGCGCGUUUCGUCUUUAUAAGACUCAUCAGUGACGCUCAGAUCAAAACAGUUAAAAAGCCAAACAAAUACAAAGUUGGAAGAGCAUUGAACAGAUAACUGGACAUUCAAACUCAUAUGCCGAAAAUAAGUUGAAAACGUCAUUGCCAUUAAAGGAAGUACACACAAUACAAUAUUAAAAACUAAAGACUGAGCAACAUCAACCCCAAUAAAAACUGGGGGUGAUCUCAGGUGCUACGGAGGUAAAAUCUAUAAGCAGAUCGUACUCCUCAUUUACAUAUGGAACGUGUCGUGUUGGUCAUGUUAAAAAACGGUUAUUAAUUUAAUUCAGUUGUUCACAUUCGGAAAAAGUGGACAGGAUUGUAGUCAAGACAUCAGGAACAAAUAAGCGAUUAUCUGUGAAACGGAUAUUCCAUAUCGUGAUGACGUCUGAUAAUCUUAUGAAGUGAUGAUUUCAACUUCACCACUUGGAACUCUUAGUUUUAAUAAAACGCGACCAGCGUCUGUGCCGAAAGUUGAUGAGUCAGGGUUAUGUAAAAAAAAGUCUCGUCCUUUUUCUAAAAAAAAAGUUCAUCGGAAGAUAUGAAGACCUUAUUGAUAAAUGUUUCGUACCACCUUCACAAAUUUAACAUGAUUUUCUUGAAGUAUAUAUGUUAGGUAGUGACGUUGUUUAUCACCCUAAUUACGUGUCAUAGUGUGUUUUAUUUGUCUUUAUGAAUCAUUAACCUUUACUAUUUCGUCUAGUCCUAAAAGACGUGACUUAGUACUCUUAGUACGAAUGUGUUGUGCUGUUGUCUUUUUUGUAUUCUUGUCAUUCGGUUUGCUUAUGUGCUAUAUAUGUAUGCCCUUUUGUUACUGAUUGUUGACUUAUAUGUUUGUUCUUAUAUUGAUAAAAAUUAUAGCACAAUGAUGACUGCUGUAUCCAUCUUUUUGACAUUUUUACCUUUUAUGUCUGUUUGUUUUGGUCACACACUGUUGUCAAUAUAAUGGAAUUGUAUGCGAUUGUCAUACAAGUGAGAGGUUUUGCUAGAUUUAAGACCAGGUAUCAUCCACCAUUUUUCUACAUAAGGAAAUGCUGGUACCAAGUCAAACGUAUGAUAAUUGGUUUCUAUUUGUUUGAUGUGUUUGGGCUUUUGAUAUGAAGAGGGACAUUCCGAUUUAAAUGUUCCGUGAAGUUCGGUACUUUUUUCAUUUGGUUAAGCUUCACCAAUAGCUAAUAUCUAGGGAAUAGUGUUAAAACAUAAUAUAUGAUACUAUCUUUUGUAAUUGAAUAUGAAAUGAAGCAUGAAACGGAUAGAAAUUAUACAAAAUAACUGAUGUGUGUUAUCGAUUUUACAUUUCUUUAGACUUGUUUAAAAAGUUUGUGUACCCAAUAUAAAUCAUUGUAUACUUCCUUGUCAAUAUGUUAAUGCUGGUUGGUUUAAAGCUGCUAUAAAAUGAAUAAAGACUUGCUUUUAUUCUCCGCUCGUAUUUCGUAUUUUGUAUUAUGUAUUAUGUAUUAUACUUUCUUUCAUGCACACCUUUAUAUUCAUAUAUAUUAUACAUCUCUUGUAAAAUUCUUAUACUGGUGUAAAAUUGUGUAUAUGUAUCCUAUAAGCUGUAUUGCUUUCGGAAUAAAGUAUUAUUACAUUUUGUCCAUUAAAUGAGUACAAUUCUUUUUUAAUGAGAUGUAAACUUUUUUGUUUUGUUUAUCAGAUAAUGUAAUUAUUUGUUAAUAUUCGAUACCAAUAAAAAAUUGUUACAUGAACGAAUGUUACAAAAGAUAAUAUAAAUUAUAUAAAUAUGAAUAAUAUUUACGGUCUAUUUUGUGCGCACUUACUUAUUGCAGUUUUAUAAAAAGAAAAUAUUAUGUGAUCACUGAGCUAUAUCAACAGUAAAUUUUGCAAUUAUACACUCUCGGUUUAUUAAUAGACUGGUACUUUGUAUAAUUAUGUAUACAUAUUGGUAUAUCAUUUGAAUAAUUGUUCUAAAAGAGGGACGAAAGAUACCAGAGGGAAAGUCAAACUCAUAAAUCGAAAAUAAACUGGCAACGCCAUGGCUAAAAAUAAAAAGGACAAACAGACAAACAAUAGUACACAUGACACAACAUCGAAAACUACAGAAUAAACAACACGAACCCCAUUAUUUCUAAUAAUUAUUACAUAAGUUAUAGAAAAACUGGUCAUUAUCGUGAUACAUGGACUACCCACAGGACAGUGGUAUUGAGUUAGACAGCUAUGAUGAUCGAGCCGUAAGUCAAAACCACUAUCAUACGGACAGUCCAUGUAUCUCGAUAAUGACAUGUUCUUCAAUAAAUAUUAUGUUUAUUUCAUAGAGGAACCAUGUUUUUAAAAAUUCUCAUAAAUUCCAAUUGUUCAAAGCUUUCUCGAGUAAAUUUAUGAUUUCUAUUAGAAAUAGUGCCGACCAGUCAUAGUGAUAACUAUAGGUCAAUGUCAUUCAUUAAAGUGUAAUUUUUCAGUAUAUGAAUACAAAAUGAAGUUUUCUAUAGUUUUGAGAUUAACGAAAUCAUUCUAAACAGAAAAACCACAGCCCACUGGUCAUUAACAGGUAAAAGACAGUUAACGAUUGGUUUUCUGGUCAGUUUUUUAUGAUUAAGAGCGAUGGAUUUAUUUACUGAAGGAUAAAGAAUGUUAAGUGGCCCCGUUGUUAUCCAAUAUGAAAAACUAGCUUUUAACCGAUAUAAAAUGAAUAACCACUAUGUAUUAUAUAUCUCUAUACAGUAUAAUCGCUAAAACUAUUGUUACGUUAAUAAACGCAUCAUUAAUAGCAGGAUUACAUUUUGUAUUUACGCCAGAUGCGUGUUUCGUUUACAAAAGACUCACUAGUGACGCUCGUAUCAAAAAAGGUUGAAAAGGCAAAAUUAGGUAAGAAGUCGAAGAGCAUUGAGGACCAACAUUCCUGAAAGUUUUGCCAAACACAGCUAAGGUAAUCUAUUCCCGAGGAAGAAAAACCUUAGUAUUUCAAAAAAUCAAAUGUUUUGUAAACAGUCAAUUAAUAAAUAUGACCAUAUCAAUGAUGAUUCAUAUCAGCACAUAAGUGCUGACUUCUGGGCUGGUGAUACCCUCAGGGAAUAAAAACUCCUUUCUUAUGACGUAAGUAAAGACAUAAAUAUUUUACAAACUCCAGAAAGAAGAAAUAAACGAAACUACAAUUCCAGUUCAACUAGGUAAACAAUUCUUAGCAUUUCGAAUAUUUCAUACUUUUACAAACAAGUAAUACAUUUGACCAUAUAAUUGAUAUACGUGACAACACCAAAGUGCUGACUACUGAGCUUGAGAUACCCUCGAGAAUAAAACGUCUUUCAGCAGUGGUAUCGACCCAUUGGUUUAAAAAGUUAUCAAAGGUACCAGGCUUAUAAUUUGAUACGCAAAUCAGAAAACAUAACAUUGAGACCGGAAAUUGGGAAUGGUUUACAUGUCGCUGAAUUUUUUUUAAUAUAAUUACUUAUAUAUUGACUGUCAUGUAUCUAUAUCUUACAUCUUAGAACUCAUAAAAGAAGUCAUGCAUUACGAUUAAAAUGGGUAUUCAAUUUAAAUUUUUAACACGUAUUAAUGCUUUUAGCUAAACACGGUUCAUACAAAGCAACAUUUUUAACGUGGGUUAUAAAAAACGUCUCCUUUCAAUAUCGAACUAAAUAGAGAAACUUGUAAGGUGUAUGUGUAGUUGAGAGUUAAUCUAUCGAGAAUGGUAAAGUAAAUUUUAAGAUUGGUUUGUAAGAAUUUCCUUAGACCUGACUUCCUGGUUGAAUCAUCCGUACUUAAAAACACUAUCGUUUAGCGAACACUAACUUUUGUUUUAUACGAACACACAUUUAUUGUACAUUAUUAUAAGUGUUAAACUGAUCAUUGUAACUGAAGUUACAACGAUCCCAAUAUGACAGAGACAGAAAUUAUUAAAAUCGUUUUCUCCUAAUAUCUCCUUGUAUACGUGUUUUUUUCAAAGAGUACUCAGGCCGCCAGUUUGAUCUGUACGGUUUUGUUGUGCGCUGUGUUUUUUUUAAAUUUAAUAUUAUAUAUGGCCUUGUUACACAAUUUAAGCCAUCGAAAAAUCAAGGAAAUUUGUUUAACAUGAUAAUCGUUACUGUAUUAUCAGAAAGUCGUAAUUUGACAUAAUUAUAAGUAUUUAUCAGUGAUCAGUAACUUUAUCUGUUGAUGGGGUUAUGACUUUAUCUAAAUCUUGCUCAACAGUUUGAUAGUGUGACCAUAUGAUCAUAACAUAUUCGCAUUGUAAUGCUAUCUGUAGCAUCUAAAAUUUUGACUGGCACUAGAUAAUUAGGAUACGUUGGUAAGGGACAAUUGUUUUUUGGAAAGGGUCCCUUCACAUCCCUUAAAGAGUUGUUGUAAGGGUUCUUAACGUGCUAGUAAUGUGGCAUUUGCUUUAUAUGAGUCACCGAUUAAACGUCCCAAUUCUGACCGGACAUGGCUGCGUAUUUAUACAUCUCGCACAGUUAAAAACGACGACCAACUUUGACAACACAAAGGAGGGUUAUACUGCCAGUCGGAUGAAUACGUAGGGUGUACAUAAUUCGAUUCCCUAGUCACCAUUGUAAUCUUUUAUCGGGGGCAGACGUAAAAAAAUAAACACAAAGAAGAAUAAGCAAUCUAGGAAAACAUCACAUGCUUCUUCAUAAAACAGAGGAGAGUGCUCACACUGAGUAUGUUUAACAUGCUACGUUCUGUAUGCGCUUGUCCUAGACAAGGAGCCUGUAAGUAGGUGUUUUUUUCUAUGAGUUCUGUACGUUUUUUAUUGUCUUUGGUGGAUAGCUGUCUGGUAACCAAUUAUAUUUGUAUGUGGUUAAUAUGUUGCAUGAUGUGACUGAUUCAUUCACUUCGGAUUAAAACGAAACAUUGGUCCGUCAAAAGACACUGUAUUUUUCAAGGUUUUUCAUUCUUUAUUCCUUGCUUCGAACCGACUGUUGUUUCAUAAAGAGCUACACGAUCAAUUCAAUUAGAGAUUAUUUAAAUCAAAUUAUAGAAUCCAUUAAAUGUAAUUUUCAACAAUGUCUGAUUUAAUAUUUACUUUGUUUUCCUUUUACAGUUGACCUGUUUCCCUUGGUUUUAGUUUGUAAACCUGAUUUGUUUUCUCUUUAUCAAUUUCUGACUUUUGAACACCGGUAUGCAUAAUAAUGUUGCUUGUAUAUAUCUUCUAAUGAAAUUGGUUAAUUUUAUUGAUAUCAUUGAUAACAAAAAAAAUCCAAUACCGUUAUAUGAAUUUCUAUUUAGCACUUAUUGUUUUCAAAACCCAUCGGAAAUAGUUUUCAUACUGAAAUUUACAAUAAUCGGUCAAUGUCAGAAAAUAUAAACUUUUUUGUAUGAGGCUGAGAAACUGUAACCAUUCCUUUUGCAGUUUAAAAUCUAGUUAAAAAAUAUUGUGACACAUCCAAAAAGUCAAUCAGAAAAUUCAUAUUUUAAAACACUUUAAUGAUCUACUCCAAAAUUUUCAAUUACAUGCAGUCGUAACAUUAUUGCAGUGAUAUCAAAACUUAUGUUUUUUACUCGUCACAAUUCUAUUCUCUUUUCUCAAUUCAUAAAUCGAAUACGUCAUCUCAUUAAAAAUAGCUUGAUCAACAUGGACAGGAACCGUAGCUUCAUAAAAAUUCUUAGUUCGCAUAUAUAUCAGUAAAUAUUAUAUAAAUGAUUGAAACUAAAUUAGGAGCUCGGCUUCAUAUUUUGAAAAUGUUCUCUUUAUAGACCUAGCUGGACAUCCUCAAAUAUGAAUGUAUGCCUAGCGUGACGAUUUGAACUUUUCAAUUGUCAAUUUCGGAUCAAAAUUGUCAUCCAAAAAGUUUAUCUUGUGCAUUUUCACAUUGUGCAUAUUUUGUUAACAGGGUUACGCCUCUAACAUAAAAAACUGCUCUAACAGAGUAAUGGGGAAAACGAUAAUACAGUUUCAUGAAAAAAAAUCACAUAAUAAAUGUGGCAAGAUUGAAAAUCUGUAAGUACCAAACCCCACUUUAAUAAGGGACAGUUGUGGACGACCAAAGAUGUCAGGACUCUUUGAAGUCCAAUCAUCUAGCUAAUGUGCUGUUUGUAAUUGUUUCGGUUUUUAAUCGUUUGGCUAACUGCAAUUGAUUUUGAUGUUUCCAAGUCAUGUGUGAUUGUUUUUUUAUUUGUUCUUCUAAAAUCGAUCGUCCCUGGUGAUUUUUUACUUCUGAAGACGACACGUGCGGCUGUAAGACAUUAGUAUUUGAGUUUUGUAGACCAUAUGAUUACUUUAUUUGCAUGUAUGAAAGUUUUUAAUUCAAAGGCUUUCUUAUUUCAAUAAAAUAUUUGUUGAUAAGGCGAAUGCAGGUUAAUAUACUUUAUGCAAGUUUCGAGGAUUCUUUAGUUUUCAAUGUUGGUUUUGUGUACUGUCGUUUGAGUUAUUGUAACCCUGUGCCAUAUAUGACCACCCAUAUGAUCCGAUUAUUGUAGCCACAACCGGGACAUCUUUUAGUCAAAUGUGAUAAACGAAUGAACAGUAUUUUUACCUACAAUGAUCAACACAACGGCAGCACGAUCUAGAACAAGAUCUGCAAACCUCUGCCAAGCACUUUUCAUACCAUACCCGAGCUUAUAUGAUGAAAUUGAUUUGUUUCUGUUUGAAUUUCGUUUUUCUGAAAUAUCAUGGUGAUUUUCGGUUUCCCUUUACUUUUCAAUAUUGUAUGUCUAUUGGUAUUUCAGCAUUCAUUUUUUGAAAACGCCUUCAAGGUGAAUAUAGGACUUACACGUGUUAUCAUAUAUUCCAAUACAAGCUUUACUUGUACACAUGUUGGUUUUUUUCUUUUUUAGUCAUGGCGUAUUAGCUUUUUAUUUCGAUCUAUUAGUUUGACUGUCCCUAUGGUAUCUUUCGUCCCUCCUUUUAAAAUGGAAGAUAUGUUAAUGACUGAACAAGAUAAAAAAAAAAAAGUUCCGCAUCAUUACCUCGAACGAACCGAUUCUGAAAUAGAAGACCGUUGCCAAUUACGUCGUGGUUUUUCUUUGCGGGUGUUAAAACAAAGUGAAAAUCUUUUUGAAACUUUUCUGCUUAUGAUCCUCAUUUUUAAAUCAAUUUCUAUCCUAUGGUUAUUUUCCAAUAUAGAACUUGUAUAGUGUCCAUUCGCUUCUGUGAAGCGUUAAAGAAAGAAAAUACUGAAAAAAGUUGUGAUAUGGUUUACCACUUUUAAUGAAAUAUGUAAACAUGUUUCCGUGAUGUGUAUGCAAAACAUUGACCACAAUAACAAUAUUUUUAUGAAAACCAGUAUGUUUGAGGUGGAAAAAUAUUUUUACAUGAAAUAAUUACUUAAACUAUGACUUUGUUUAAAUAUUCAAAGAUUUUUAUGAAAUGGCCUUUAUGUUGUAAGGAUUUUAUCAGAACAUCUCUAAACUUUUAACAUGCGGAUGAACCAAAUUGAAUUGACCGCGCCUCUAUUUUUUUGUCUUUAUCAACAACAAAUUAAUCUUAAUAAUAUUUUCAAGUUCAUCCGAUACAUUUAUUUCCAACUAGGAAAUAAACAAACGAAAAUAUCACUGAUUUAGAAGAAAACUAAAACUUUUAAACGAAAUUGAUUCAUCAAUAGAUUGGGAACCAUUUUUAAUUGUACAUUUUACAUACUAGUAUAUGUGCUUACGUAUGAAAAUGGUGUAAGUGACAAUUUAAUAUUUUUCUAUAUACUUUAAUGACACCGUUUUAUUUAAAAUACAUUGAUUCAUACACAGAUUAUUAAACUUGUUUAAAAGGCCCCUCUUUCAAAUCUCAAUCAAAAGAGCUGAACAUGUAUUGUGAAUGUCUAAUGAUGCAUACGAAAGUAAGUGAAGAAGGUUAUGUAGCCCUGAUAUUAAUUGGUUGGUACUCUAGACUAGACUUCCUGGUUAAAAACUCAUUACGUUAGACUUAACUGUUCAGCGUACAAAUUGUCAAUGAUUUCAGGUAAGCAAUAAUUCUUUUAUCAGAACAAAUGUUAGCGUAUAUCGCUAUAUUUCAAACUGUUAUGUAUAUUGUUAACACUAAUAAUUUCGGACUUUUACGUUGUUGUAUUUUUUUGUAUUUGCAUACAAAGUUUUAUACGUGCAUAGAAAUAUAGAUUUCUCAAGUUCGGAUAAUGACGUUUUUGUGGAAGUCGGGUAUAAGUUUGCCUGUAGUAAGGAUUUGGGGACAUCAGCUUUUGUAAUCAGAAAAUCUUAAUAUCCUACAAUCUAGAAGACGUCAAGUUGUUCAUUCAUUCAAUGCACUAUAUUUAUAUAUUUAAUUAACAAGUUUUUUUCAAAUCGAUCUUGAUGGCUUCAUUGGGAUUGAACUUGAAUUGAGUCAAAUAAGUUUUCUUAUGUAUCAGUUAAAACAACAUUAAAUUUAAUUUAGUCUGUUCAGCUUUAUUUCAAAAAUUUACAAUAAUUUCACUUCGGGCAAAAUAUAAAAGUACCUUGGUUAUGUUCUUGAAUUUGCUCUUAGAAAUCUCUCAAAAAGACUCCGAUAUCUGAAUGAAGUUUCAUAUGUAUUUAGAUCAGAUCUCAAUGUUACAACGCUUUCAAUUGUUGUUCUGCAUCUUGUUUGUCGAAUUUGUAUAUUAAAAAUGCGCAAAGACGAGUUUUCUCUGGCGUAUAUACAAAAUUUAGUCCUGGUAUCUAUGAUGAGUUUAUUUACAACCACUGGGUCGAUGUCACUGCUGCUGGAGAUUUAUUUCCAAGAGGGUAUCACCAGCCCAGUAGUCAACACUUUUUGUACUGAGAUGAAUUAUCAUUGAUAUGGUUAUAUUUAUAAAUUAACUGUUUACAAAAUUUUGAAUUUUUGAAAAACUAAGGCUUUUCUACCUCAGGCAUAGAUUACCUUAGCUGUAUUUGGCAUAACUUUUUGGAAUUUUGGUCCUUGAUGCUCUUCAACUUUAUACUUUAUUUGGCCUUUUUAACUUUUUUGGAUUCGAGCGUCACUGACGAGUCUUUUGUAGACGAAACGCGCGUCUGGCGUAUAUACAAAAUUUAGUCCUGGUAUCUAUGAUGAGUUUAUUUCUACGUUUAUAGUAUCUUUAUUGAUGACAUCAAACCUCGUGUAUAUCAACCGACAAUUUGUUUUCAUUUAAUUGAUUUAUGACCUUUAAAAAGAGGUAGACAUAAAGGCAACAGUAGUAUACCGAUGUUCAAAACUCAUAAAUCGAUAGAAAAAAAGAAAUCCGGGUCACAAACAAAAAACCGAGGGAAACGCAUUAAAUAUAAGAGAAUGACAACACAACAUUAAAAUGUAACACACACAGAAACGAACUAAGCAUUGGCACUCACACCACAUGUUCCUAUAUCAAUGUACAAUAUAAUCUGUGCUCAAUGCAAUUCCAAUUCAAUGGAUUACAGUGGAUUCAUUCUUCUUUGUUGAAAACCAAUUUUCGCGGAUUUCAUUAGUACUAGUACAUGUAAACCACAAAAUUAAAUGUACAACGAAAAACAAAUGUUCUAAAGGCUUGUAUGAAGACUUAGGAAAGCCACGACAUUCUAUGCAUGUAUCUUGAAAAAAUGCACGUUUUCUUUAAUCCACGACAAUUAGUACCCACGAAUAUAAAUGAAUCCACAGUAAUCAAUUGUUUACAACAGAAUUUGAUAUAUGUUACCUAUUGCAUUUGCAAUAUUUAUAGGCGGUAAUAGGACGUGUAUACGUAUCUAAAAGCGUUUAAACAAUUCACAAGACCAACAAUGUUUAGUUACCUCUAAAAUCGACUCGAUGCAAAAAUGUGAUUUCGUAGUUACGGAUGGAUCAAUUCUUUAUAAAGCAUUGUCAUAUACCAACGUAUUCUGAUAUUGUUGGAAUUUCAAAUAGUAAAAAAAGAAAGACACUUCUUUAGGCGAUAUAUUCCCUAAGGCUUUUGAAAAAAACUUUAACAGGGUUGGUUGAAUCAAUAGUUGGCUUGUCUUAUAUUAAUUACGUACGUUUAAUAGCAAAAAAAGGAAGUUAAAAGGCUCAAUCAUACCAGACAACUUAAAUUAGUAUUACUAAUAAAUUAAAACAAAGCUUUAUAAUACAACAUAAAAGUUCAGAAUGUAUUCUGAACUGAGAAAGCUAAUUAAUUGCAUGGAAUCUUACAUAACAUAAGACUAUAUUUACAUUUCAUACGCAAAAAGAACAUUUGUGAUGAAAGGCAACAGUAGUAUUGAAGAUUCGUUGAUUCGUUUUGAAGAAUAAUUACUGACAUUUUUUCUCCAUCUGCUGCCCAUAUAUUUUUUCGAGAUUCUACAGAUACAUUCAUAUCUGUUUUUAAAGUCAGUAUGGUAAAUGCAACCUGAACCUCAGCUGAUGAUUGUUUUUGGUUCUUUUAUCGGGACGAUCAUUGAAGAUUAUUUCGCUUGCAGUCGUGAUACACAUCUCGUUUUCAAAGAAAAAUAAACAAUAAAAACACUAAAAAGCAAAAUACAAUAACAAAAUAAUUCAAAGGAUACAAUGUCUUCUUUAUUUCAUACCACCCACAUCUUGUUCACGGAGAUAAAACAUCAAACGAUCUUUCAAAUUAGAAGUCCACAUUUUAACCUGUGUAUCGUUUUUCAUAAAUUUUAAGAUGAUUUUGGAAGAUUGCAAAUAUUUUUUCCAUGUCAAAAAUAAAGACUUUGUUAUUAUUUAUUGGUUAUUAUAAGAUUGUUCAUGAUGUGGCAAAUAUCGUUAGAUUUGUAAAUUCAUUAUACAUGUGAUAUCAUACUCAUGCCACCCUUACACUCUCCAUGUGUGUAUGUUAUUGUUGGAAAAUGAAUACCCUCAUAGAUUGUCGUGACAUCUUAGGCUACCUCGUUUUAUUUGUUUUUAAAAAUAGAUAAGUUAGAUAAACAUGUUACGCCAUCAGCAUUUCCUUUGGUUUUUGUCAAUGUGGGGAUACAGUCUGUGCUGCCCUUCCUCGUGUACUUGUUCAAAUCGAAGAGUCUACUGUAAUAAUCCACAACAAAUGUUUGAUUCAAUACCUACAGAUAUACCUUCAAAUACUUUAUACCUGUAAGUACUAUAUAUAUACUCAUUUUAUUAUACUCGCACAUUUCAGAAUAUUCAAUUGAUAAUCAGGGUUUUUAUUCAACAUGUAAUUUAAGUGUACAGUGAUUAAUUACAGUAAUUUCACAUAUGAAACAAAAAUCAACACGCAAUUAAUUACGAUCAUCGUAACAACCUCUCUAUAGCAAACUGAAUACAAUGUCGCAAAGUUGAGACAUCAAACAUAAGAUCAUUUGACAACACAUAUAUAAAGAAACAUUUACUAUGAUACAAUAACACAAUGACGGAAUUUUUCAAUACAGAGCCACGUCAUAUGUAACAAAAAAAUACAAAAAAGCGCAGUAGGAAAAAAGAAAAUUGGAAUACAAAAACUAUCAUAGAACAAUGACGGUAUGUAAACGUAUAAAACCAUCGCAUAUUUAGUUAAAAUGAGGGAAAUAUUCAUUAGUUUACUACAUUUCACUGUCACACAAUAGGACAGCAUUUAGUAUCUGAUUUUAUUUUUUAAAUCCUGACAUAAAUGUAAUUUAAAGUAGACAUGUAAUGAAGGGACGGAUAAUACCAGAGGGACAGUCAAACUCAUAGAUUGAAAAUAAACUGACAACGCCAUGGGUAAAAAUAAAAAGACAAACAGACAAAUAAUAGUACAGAAGACACACAAUUGAAAACUAAAAACUAAGCAAAACGAACCCUAUCAAAAACUGGGGGUGAUAUCAGGAGCUCCGGAAGGGUAAGCAGAUCCUACUCCAUAUUUGAAAACUGCAAGAAAAUAGCAUGCAAUGAUAGCCCCGGUCAAUUCUUUUAUUGGCAUUCUUAAUAAUUCUAUUUCCAGCUACUUUGAUAACCAGCUUUUACGAAAUCUAAGCUCUUUGAAUUGUAAUCAGUUUCCGGACCUACAAGAGUUGUA
rnacentral:lncRNA from 1 species